rnacentral:rRNA from 1 species
AUGUGGUUGAGGGCUCCUGACUAUCAUGAACUGUGGGAGAACUCGUGGGCUGGGAAUUCCGAUGGUGCUCUUUCUCUUCUACAUGUGCUACUCUUCGCCAGGUUACAGCAUCCUUGCGUCAAUCAGGAUAUCCCUCAGAAGCUCAAUCAGGAUAUGAAUGAUGAGUUAUGCAAAGCCCUACAUGCACUGUUUCAAAUGGGCCCAACAAAAGCCCCAGAUCCUGAUGGUUACCCGCGCUGUUUUACCAGUUGGGACACCUAUUUGGAGAGGGUACAUGUUGCCGUUCGGUACUGUACUGUGAGCGAGUGCGAAGGGAACUAA